GGGGCUGUAGUGUAGCCUGGCGAGGGAUGAUCAAGUCCUGCCUCUACCCUUCGGGUAACUAUCACUAAUGGUUUGGGACCAUUGAACCCCGGUUCGAACAGAUUUCACAGAGAGCAUCGUGAAUCUAGGAAAGUCCGGGCAGCCCCA
rnacentral:tRNA from 1 species